ensembl:lncRNA
AUUUGAUCUAAUUUCCCGUCCUCUUUUCAAUUCAGGCUUUGGUCUGCGUUUAGACAAAGGCGCUUUUGAGAGCAAGGGAGACUUGGUGAGGAGGAUGGGAUGGAAGACUUUAAAUAUUUGAAUGUCGCCGUAAGUAGGCGGUAAAGCUUUAGACCUGUGUGAAAGGUAGGGGAGGGUGCUGACCUGAGCCAGCUGCUCUGAGGUAUUUCCAUGCUCGGCCUGAGGAUGAAGCCAGCCCUGGGAGGUUUGCUGUGCUGAGCAGAGAACAGACCCUGCAUCGCAGCUCCUUCACCCUCACUGGCAAACAGAAUGAGGAGGUACUACUUCUAAACUGACAUAGCAGGAUAGAUGCAACUUCUUUAUUAGAGCCUGUUUUUCCACUGGAGGAGGAGGAUGUUUCUGCUCUCUGGGGAAGUGUGGAAGCUCAGCGAGGAUAACCCCGUGACUGCAGAUGAAUACCCGUAUUGAUAAAUCUAGCAACUGAUAACUGAAGAAAUAUGCUUCAAAUUUGAAAUAUGCUUUGCAGAUGAAGUUCAGCUGUCCCAAAGUUGCAUGAAUGAGCAUCCUUUCUGCUUGCAGAAAUCUUGUCAAGGUUUUACCAGCUUGCAAUAGACUUUGGUAUUAGUGGAAGAUUACCUGUCCUCUGGAAAUCCUGCCAUUAGCUUCUCCUGACAGUGCCUUUGAAAUGCUAAAUCUCUGCUGAAUGCAUCUUGUCUAGAGGGUGACAAGGAACAGCUGUCACAGUUCAACUCAAGCUAAUACAGUCAAGCACUAUUUUUGUGCCUUUCAUUGAAAACUACCAUAUGAGUAUACCUUCCUCUUUUGAUGGCCUCCCUUCAGAUGGAACAAGUUGCUGAGAGCUUUCUUGGAGACUAUGAACUUCUGUUUCCAACAAACAAUUAUGCUAAUGGAUGGAAAGUACCUCUCCUACAGACUGAGCUGCUGUUUGCAUGUCUGUAACAGCUAGACAGCAUCUUGAGGAGCUCUAGGUCAAAGGGUGAUGGCCAGAUACAAAGCAGUCUGCGGGUCCUUCACACGUGGGUUAACCAACAUGGCUCGCUCGAGCUUUCUUCAGAGGCGUGGAAUCAGGACUCCGUGCCCUUGCCAGAAGGAAGGGAAGUGGAGCAGAGGUGCAGUCCGAGGGAGAAGACUUGCGAGCCCCGAAGGGAGCAGGGCCGUGCCGGGCCGCGAGUGCCUCCCGCCCGCGACAGCACCAUGGAGAGCGCCCGGGGAGCCGCGCCGCACCGCAGAGUACCGGACCGUACAGCAAAAUGGCCGCUGCUCCGCGUCUCGCCGUGCAAGUGGGCUCACGCGGGCUGGGGCCAGCGAGCUGGUAGGAACGUGUUCCUGCCCGCACCUUCCAGCCAGCUCGGAGGGAAAUCGAUCUGCUCUCUUUCCACAAGUCAGCAGUGUGUGUAAAGGGUAUGCAGCAAGCCACUAAGUCUGCAGUUGCUAUUCUCUACGAACCAAGGUUUGGUUGUCCCCAAACAAAGCAACACCAUUAGAGCACUUAAAUAAAUACAUGCACAAAUAAAUCUGGCUCUGCGUUCAUCCGUAGAUACUUGGCUAGGUUAAAGUCAGCCUCUGAGACAGCAACCCUGAUGCACUUCCAAGAGUGAUGAAACUGCUGCUCGGGUGGUUUCACUCAAUUUCUCAUAAUCAAAUAUAUCUUUCAAGGCAAUAAAUAAGUAUAAGAAAUAUCUAACCUCAGAAAUGAAAGUCCAACAAACAAAAAGACCAAAAAGAAAAAAAAAAAAGCCACGCUCAGAAGAAGAGUUUGCAAAUAUUUCUGAACUCUCAUUUCAAAAAUGACAGGAGCUAAUUGUUGCUUUGGUCGUGCUGCUUGUAUCCUGAAUGUUAAAAGGAAUUAAUAGGAAAAGGUAUCAAUUUGUCACAACAGUGCUAAUUAAUGUUUUACAUUUUUUUUCUCUCUUUUAAUAGAUAAUUUGCUGUAAUGAGUAUAUCAGGGCUAAGUGAGAAUGGGGCUGCAAUAGUGUUUUUCUCAAAUUUCUGAAGUUAUUUAACCUACUCUCAGUAUUAACCUACUGCAGGGACCCUGCUUUAGCUGGGGAGUUGGACUCAAACUCCGACCGCUACCAUUUUGUGGUUCUGUGAUUCAUGAUGCAUGAAGAUUCAAAUGAAAAAUGUCCCUUUUUAUAAAUUGAAGAACAAGGUUUCUUUAGUAUCAGGAAAAUGUUUAUUCAGCACGAGCUGUGGUGUAUUAUAAAUAAAGGUCCAGCUGACUUAAAAAUUACCACCUGCACUGAAUUUUUCAUAAUUAUACUUGAUGUAUGCUAUUGGUAUUGAAACAUUCGUCAAUCCGUUCUCUACUUCUGUGCUUAAAACAAUAUAAAAUAUUUGUCUGACUUAAUUCAGACACCUUCAAGGCAAGCAACGUAGAAACUUACAAACUGUUUCAUAUUGGCAUAAAAGCAUCGAUCUGUCUUUGUUCUUAUGCAAGUCCUGCUCUU